CCUACCUCGGCCUGUGAUUUAGUGCUAUUUGACAUAAGAAAACCAAACAGCCCCGGCAGUUAACUCCCGGCCCACCUCCGGCACGGGCACAGCCCGAGGCGGGGGGAGCGCGGCGGUUACGCCGGCGUCCGCUGCCGCCCGACACGGUGGGUCUGUCACGCUCACCGGAUGCCGCUCGCGCAGCUUUACGUAACUUCGGGAGCGGUCACCGGGCCCGACGUGCCGUACCGCAGCUGCACGGUACGCCCUGCACGGCCGCAAGGUUCCGGGAACCGGCUGGUUUCACCAGGGCGCCGAGGACUCAUCGCUGAGCUGAGGCUCCUCCGCCCCGCCCUGGUAAUUACUCGGAACUGCAGCAGCUCUUAAGUGCCCUGACUUCCCAGACUGAGAUUGACUGAUUGAAAGAUUAGGCAAGGCAGAGAUUUAUAGCUAACCUGGUAAGAAGAAAGGAAAAAUGUACAGCAAUUUAAACAAGUGUUUGCUUUGUUUUUUUUUUUUUAUUUUCUCUCCCUACCCUGUAUUGAGGUUGCAUCUUGAAUGUUAUCCAAAGUUAUGUAUUUAGGUUGGAGACAAGCUCUUUCAGUUGGAGCAGAGGAGAGCUUCCCUCCAGCCACUCCUGAAUGGUGCUGGAGCCCUGCUGGUAUCACUCCUGCAGCUGGUAUCACACCCCUCAGGAGGGCUAACUUCUUAAGGAAGAAAUUCUACCAGGUUUCUCAGAGAACAUAAUGCAGUUCUCCUUACAAUAAAGCUGUGAUUUAGAUUUAUACCUGAUUAAUUUGCCUUGGUUUCUCACUUGCCGAAGACAUUUUCCUAUGUAUGCCAGAUGGCAUGACCCAUUUAAAACAAAUUAAAUUGGCUUUGAAACCUUUAUCCCCAUCUUGUCAGUAUGGCCACAGCAGAUUCUUAGUAAUAGUAACAUUUUGCAAAACAAACAACAUAACCUUAUUUCUGUAUGGAAACAAAUAAACUCAUUGUAAUUCCUGCUAAAAUAUAUUUAAUGGUUCAUAUAAAAAUGUUAACAGCCUAUAUUUAAGAGAUAUAUUCAUGAGCAAAUACAUAUCCAUAAACAUGAAAAAAUAUCCCAGGGUUUACCAAUGAAUCAGAGUAACUGUAUUUACAAUAUUGCCAGCAGUUUUUUUUGAAAGAAAAUCUUGCUAAUGAAGCACUGAACAAUGGAGAAAUAAUGCUGUGCAUUGGUAUCUUUUCUAAAAGAUCAGAAUCUGUAAAAUUACUGGUAUCUUUAUGCAGUCUGAAGUGGCUACUAUUAGAGCAUUUAAUGUAAAUUGCAAAAUCACAGUCUUUGCUGAGUUAUAGUCAAUAUUUCAGCUGUAUGGCCCCAGGAUCAAACUAGUGUAGAUAUUUAUCCCUGUUAUAGAUCAGUAGCAGAGCUCUUUUCCUCUGUGGGGCUCACCAGCUCAUCAGCUAUACUAAUUUAUGCUUGGGAGGAAGAGGCAACACUCCCCCCUUUUCUCGCCUUUGGGCAAAGAGAGCAAAGGAGAAUGAUGCUUUGAGGUUGCAUCUUUCUCUCAUGCCUUCCAUGGGGACCUUGGGGCAAGCAGUCUGCUGAAUUCACCAUCAUUCACAACUUGCAUCAUUGGAUGUACCACUAGUGCACUUUCUAGAAUGGCUGAAGAAGCCUUUUGUGUCGUCAGCCCACAAAGAAAAGAAAAUACAGAAUAUUUUUCGUACAAAGUUUUUGGUAUCCAACCAUAUUGUAUGGG
ensembl:lncRNA